rnacentral:rRNA from 1 species
CUAGUACGGCGAGUGAGCGGCAAGAGCUCAAAUUUGAAAGCUGGCCCCCGCGGGGUCCGCAUUGUAAUUUGCAGAGGAUGCUUCGGGAGCGGUCCCCAUCUAAGUGCCCUGGAACGGGCCGUCAUAGAGGGUGAGAAUCCCGUAUGGGAUGGGGUGCCCGCGCCCGUGUGAAGCUCCUUCGACGAGUCGAGUUGUUUGGGAAUGCAGCUCUAAUUGGGUGGUAAUUUUCAUCUAAAGCUAAAUAUGGGCCGGAGACCGAUAGCGCACAAGUAGAGUGAUCGA